rnacentral:rRNA from 1 species
AUGCACGCUGGCGGCGUGCCUCAUACAUGCAAGUCGCGCGAACAGACGAGGAGCUUGCUCCUCUGACGUUAGCGGCGGACGGGUGAGUAACACGUGGAUAACCUACCUAUAAGACUGGGAUAACUUCGGGAAACCGGAGCUAAUACCGGAUAAUAUAUUGAACCGCAUGGUUCAAUAGUGAAAGACGGUUUUGCUGUCACUUAUAGAUGGAUCCGCGCCGCAUUAGCUAGUUGGUAAGGUAACGGCUUACCAAGGCAACGAUGCGUAGCCGACCUGAGAGGGUGAUCGGCCACACUGGAACUGAGACACGGUCCAGACUCCUACGGGAGGCAGCAGUAGGGAAUCUUCCGCAAUGGGCGAAAGCCUGACGGAGCAACGCCGCGUGAGUGAUGAAGGUCUUCGGAUCGUAAAACUCUGUUAUUAGGGAAGAACAAAUGUGUAAGUAACUAUGCACGUCUUGACGGUACCUAAGCAGAAAGCCACGGCUAACUACGU